UACGUAGGGCGCAAGCGUUGUCCGGAAUUAUUGGGCGUAAAGAGCUCGUAGGUGGCUUGUCGCGUCUGUCGUGAAAGCCCGGGGCUUAACUCCGGGUCUGCGGUGGAUACGGGCAGGCUAGAGGCAGGUAGGGGAGAAUGGAAUUCCCGGUGUAGCGGUGAAAUGCGCAGAUAUCGGGAGGAACACCGGUGGCGAAGGCGGUUCUCUGGGCCUGUACUGACGCUGAGGAGCGAAAGCGUGGGGAGCGAACAGG
rnacentral:rRNA from 1 species